AUAUGGUCAAGUUACUAAGGGUGUAUGGGGGAUGUCUAGGCGUCGAGAGGCGAUGAAGGACGUGGUAGGCUGCGAUAAGCCCGGGGCAGGAGCCGAACAUCCGUUAAUCCCGGGAUUUCCGAAUGGGGCAACCCGGCGUCACUGGGCAACCAGAUGGCGUCAUCUAUGGCUGAAUGCAUAGGCCAUACGAAGCUAACGCAGGGAACUGAAACAUCUAAGUACCUGCAGGAAAGGAAAUCAACCGAGACUCCGUGAGUAGCGGCGAGCGAAAGCGGAAUAGCCCAAACCAGUCCCGACUUGUCGGGAUUGGGGUUGUGGGCGCCGGUAAACAGUUACAAAGGCAUCGCAAGCAGAACGGUCUGGAAAGUCCGACCAUAGAAGGUGAGAGUCCUGUAUGCGAAAGCGAGAGCCCUGUGUUACUGCCGGCGUACCAGAGUAGCACGGAGCUCGUGGAACUCUGUGUGAAGCUGGGGGGUCCACCCUCCAAGGCUAAGUACUACUCGACGACCGAUAGUGAAAAGUAAGGUGACUGAACGAUGAAAAGUACCCCUAUUAGGGGAGUUAAAAGUACCUGAAACCAUACACCUACAAGCUGUGGGAGCCCUAUGACGUACUGUUCGCAGUGCGUAAUGGGUGACCGCGUGCCUUUUGCAUAAUGAGCCGGCGAGUUACCGUCUGUGGCAAGGUUAAACAGU
rnacentral:rRNA from 1 species